rnacentral:lncRNA from 1 species
CAUUUUUUUUUUUUGAAAAAAAGAAAGGGAAGACCACUACUGUUGGUCUUCUUCUCCAUUUUUGGAGAAGAAAAAAAAACCACCACGACCAUAACUCCACCUCCUUCACGUCUCAAAACCACCACUGCCCGUCACCGGAAAAAUCGUCCAGCGACCACCCUUCCACCUCCAGCAACCACCGUCGCCCCAGCUUCCUCUCCGUCUCACGACCACCAUCAACAGCCCACCAUCCCUCACGAACCAGCAGCAACGUCGUCAACCAAACAGUCCGUCGACCACCCUAUCCUCCAGCGAGCUCCAGCUCCACCAAAACAGCCAUCGCUGUUGCGCCAUCACCUUCCUCACGUCUAAACGACUACCCCCUUUACGUCAUCACCUUCCUCACGUUCAAACGACUACCCCCUUUACGUCAUCACCUUUCUCACGUCCAAACGACCACCCCCUUUACGUCAUCACCUUUCUCACGUCCAAACGACCACCCUCUCACAUCUGCUGCUAUCGUGACUGGUCGAGAAAUACAGCAGAAGCGUGAGAAACUUCCAAUUCGAGUUUGCCAAGGUUGAUUCCAGUUUGAAGUCGAGUUGACGACGAGGUUUGUUGAUGUAUCCGGCGUCGGUUACGGUCAUU